GCCGGUGAAGCAACAGACCCAGCAAGGACGAUGGGAAACUGACCAGAUAAGUCCUGAAGUCCCCAUCAACACCGUCACUGCCACCUUCACGAGUUCCACUUAGGAGCAGCCAGAGCAGCCCCUGCCAGCAUCAGGAAAAGCCCAGUGGGGGUCCCAAGAGGCUGCGAUUCUCUGCCAUGACCCCAGAAAGUUUGGCUCUUAUGCAAAGCCUGCAGUUCAGAUCCACGUGUCAACCUCAGGUCACUACAUCCAACUGCAGCAGGUAUGGGGAGAAUCGGAACCACAACACCUUCGCUUGCAGUGAAUUUCUCUCUCAGCUUUGUUUUUAGUUUGAACCACAUAAUAAAUCUAUGAUAAGGGUAUUCUUGUUCCUAUUGUAUAGACGAGGAAACUGAGGCACGCUGAGGGAGAAAGUGACAAGGAAGAGACUAGAGGCUACAUCUGAUUUUACAACAAAUUUUCAUCCCACACAACGAAUAGCAACCUCUGGAUGUUUUUCAAGAUUUGAGUGAAGUCCAGAAUCAAACUGAAGACUCUGUGUGUGUGUGUGUG